rnacentral:rRNA from 1 species
GAUGAACGCUGGCGGCGUGCCUAAUACAUGCAAGUCGAGCGAACAGAUGAGGAGCUUGCUCCUCUGACGUUAGCGGCGGACGGGUGAGCAACACGUGGAUAACCUACCUAUAAGACUGGGAUAACUUCGGGAAACCGGAGCUAAUACCGGAUAAUAUAUUGAACCGCAUGGUUCAAUAGUGAGGGACGGUUUUGCUGUCACUUAUAGAUGGAUCCGCGCCGCAUUAGCUAGUUGGUAAGGUAACGGCUUACCAAGGCAACGAUGCGUAGCCGACCUGAGAGGGUGAUCGGCCACACUGGAACUGAGACACGGUCCAGACUCCUACGGGAGGCAGCAGUAGGGAAUCUUCCGCAAUGGGCGAAAGCCUGACGGAGCAACGCCGCGUGAGUGAUGAAGGUCUUCGGAUCGUAAAACUCUGUUAUUAGGGAAGAACAAAUGUGUAAGUAACUAUGCACGUCUUGACGGUACCUAAUCAGAAAGCCACGGCUAACUACGUG